UAUUAUUUUAUAUGUAAAAAUUAGGGCUUAGGUAUUAAAUGUUAAGAUCAUAAAAUUUAAAGAAAUUGACGGUACUUUAGUCUUUUCAGAGGAAUCUGUUCCGUAAUUGAUAAUACACGAAUUGAGGUACUUAAUUUAAAGGUUUGUAUAUCAUUGUCAUAAAAUUGUCUUUGAAAAGGUUUAUUUUUAAAAUUUAAAAAUAUAGAAGAUGUCAAAUCAGGAUGCAGCUUAUAAUUAAGAGGAAAUGGAUUACAAUAAAAUAGAUUAAAUGGAUGAAUUAUUAAAUAAAAUUAUUGAAGGUGGAUUUGAUUGUAAAUUUUGUAUUAAUUGAUAAGUUGAUUAAAGCUCUAAAGUAUGUACACAUCGCCCGUCGCUCUCAUUAUAAAUGAG
rnacentral:rRNA from 1 species